AUUGAACGCUGGCGGCAUGCUUUACACAUGCAAGUCGAACGGCAGCACGAACUUCGGUUUGGUGGCGAGUGGCGAACGGGUGAGUAAUGCAUCGGAACGUGUCCUAAAGUGGGGGAUAACGCAUCGAAAGAUGCGCUAAUACCGCAUAAUCUCUAAGGAGGAAAGUAGGGGAUCGAAAGACCUUAUGCUUUUGGAGCGGCCGAUGUCUGAUUAGCUAGUUGGUAGGGUAAUGGCCUACCAAGGCGACGAUCAGUAGUUGGUCUGAGAGGAUGGCCAGCCACACUGGGACUGAGACACGGCCCAGACUCCUACGGGAGGCAGCAGUGGGGAAUUUUGGACAAUGGGCGCAAGCCUGAUCCAGCAAUGCCGCGUGAGUGAAGAAGGCCUGGUGUAAGUAUCUUCUAGUUGAGAGGAAAGGUUAGUAGGUAC
rnacentral:rRNA from 1 species